rnacentral:rRNA from 1 species
GACGAACGCUGGCGGCGUGCUUAACACAUGCAAGUCGAACGGAAAGGCCCUGCUUGCUGGCUCCUCGAGUGGUGAACGGGUGGGUAAUGCGUGGGGGUUCUGCCCUGCACAUCGGGAUAUGCCUGGAAAACUGGGGCUAUUUUCGGACAGGAGCCAUAUUGCGUGUGGUUGUUGGAAAGUUUUUUCGGUUUAGGAUGGGCGCGCGGCCUAUCCGCUUGUUGGUGGGGUAAGGGCCUACAAAGGCGGCGACGGGUAGCCGGACUGAGAGGGUGGACAGGCACAGUGGGACUGGGACACGGCCCAGACUCCGACGGGAGGCAGCAGUGGGGAAUAUUGAACAAUGGGCGCAAGCCUGAUGCAGCGACGCCGCGUGGGGGAUGACGGCCUUCGGGUUGUAAUCGCCAUGCGCUAGGGACGAAGAUUUUUGUGACGGUACCUAGAUAAGAAGCACCGGCUAACUACGUG